rnacentral:rRNA from 1 species
AGAGUUUGAUCCUGGCUCAGGAUGAACGCUAGCGACAGGCCUAACACAUGCAAGUCGAGGGGCAGCACGUCUUCGGAUGGUGGCGACCGGCGCACGGGUGAGUAACGCGUAUGUAACCUGCCUACAACAGGGGGAUAGCUCGCUGAAAAGCGAAUUAAGACCGCAUAAGACCACACUAUCGCAUGGUAGAGUAGUAAAAUAUUUAUAGGUUGUAGAUGGGCAUGCGUGACAUUAGCUAGUUGGUAAGGUAACGGCUUACCAAGGCAACGAUGUCUAGGGGUUCUGAGAGGAAGGUCCCCCACACUGGUACUGAGACACGGACCAGACUCCUACGGGAGGCAGCAGUGAGGAAUAUUGGUCAAUGGGCGAGAGCCUGAACCAGCCAUGUCGCGUGCAGGAUGACGGCCCUACGGGUUGUAAACUGCUUUUGUACGGGAAGAAAAAACGCCACGUGUGGUGUCUUGCCGGUACCGUACGAAUAAGGAUCGGCUAACUCCGUGCCAGCAGCCGCGGUAAUACGGAGGAUCCGAGCGUUAUCCGGAUUUAUUGGGUUUAAAGGGUGCGUAGGCGGGAGAUUAAGUCAGUGGUGAAAGUUUGCGGCUCAACCGUAAAAUUGCCAUUGAUACUGGUUUUCUUGAGUACAGUUGAGGUAGGCGGAAUGUGGUGUGUAGCGGUGAAAUGCAUAGAUAUACCACAGAACACCGAUUGCGAAGGCAGCUUACUAAAGUGUAACUGACGCUGAGGCACGAAAGCGUGGGGAUCAAACAGGAUUAGAUACCCUGGUAGUCC